rnacentral:tRNA from 1 species
GAGGGUAUAGUUCAGUGGUAGAUUACUUGCUUAACAUGCACGAGGUACUGGGUUCAAUCCUCAGUACCUCCA